rnacentral:lncRNA from 1 species
AAAAAUUAUCAUCUGAACACAUAAUUCCAAAAAGAAAACAAACUGGGUGAGAAUCUUUAUAUUAUUUUUUUUUCAUUUCUUUCGUAGUAGUAGACUUAAGUACUUAAAUUUCGAUAAAUUCACUACAAUGCCAGUGGCGCAGGGGUACGCUGAUCUAUCCCAAGGCGCUUAGAUUGAGAGUUCGAAUCUCACUGCCGGAGUUGGAAAAAUAAUUUCCUAUAUUAAAUGUAACUUAACUUAACUUUACUUUACUUUCAAUUUCAAAAAGGAAACCUACGAUUUUUUUUUAAAAGAAUGUGUGUGCAAAAUUGCCCCCCCCCCCUUUACCCCCUUUGCUCCAUCGGGCUCGGUCAAGGGUGUCCCAGAUCGAGCUAACAUUGGUAAUUCAAUG